CUACAACAAUGGUGCCGAUUCCUCGUGUUCAGCACUAAAUAGCCACGUAAAAUAUACAAAUUCCAGUUUGUUCAAUACAAACAAAUCUUGUAACCGCAAAAUGGAAGGAGUUAUGAAAACACAUUAUUGUUCUGUGCAAAUAUCUGCUAUAUUUAAAAUGAAAUACAGGACCCUGAUUUAAUUGAGUUUAUAGGUGUGCACGUAAAGGAAAGGCAUACCCCUAUAAACUCAAUUAAAUCAGGGUCCUUUUUCUCUCAACAUUUUUGGCCAGUGUGAUAUUGUUAGAAAAAUGUGUCUUUAAAAGAUGAUGCCCAUAUAAGCAGGGCUCUUGGGUAGGAAGAUACGGUGCACUUUUAUACAAAAUACAAAUAUCAUUCAACCUUCAAUGUGUCCUCAAGUAACCCAAAUUCUGUAAGAGUAUAAAUCGUUUCUUACUUCCCAAAAGACUUCCCAAUGCAAACGUGUUUUGGAAAAACUCGGAAAUGGUUUAUUGGCAUUGGUAUACAGUGUCAGGACAAGCCUGAUGGAAUGGACCUAUAGAAAGCAAAUCACAGUGUUAGACCAUGUUUUACAAUAUACAUGAAUAGGCAUUAAGUCAUAUUUACAACCUGAUUGGUUCAUUGUAUCUUUUUUAAUUAGAGGACUACUAAAACCAUUCAGACCAUUUCAUCUCAAUGAAGCGGUUUGGGUGCUUCGGUCCUGUCGCCACUGGUUGUCCUGUAGCCAAUGGAAAACUAUCAGAUACCAGGCAACUGACCACAGCAUUUACU